UACGUAGGGGGCAAGCGUUGUCCGGAUUUACUGGGCGUAAAGAGCGCGCAGGCGGUCUUGUAAGUCGGAUGUGAAAGCCCCUGGCUCAACCAGGGAGGGUCAUUCGAUACUGCUUGACUCGAAGGCAGGAGAGGGAAGUGGAAUUCCGGGUGUAGUGGUGAAAUGCGUAGAUAUCCGGAGGAACACCAGUGGCGAAGGCGACUUUCUGGCCUGUUCUUGACGCUGAGGCGCGAAAGCUAGGGGAGCAAACGGG
rnacentral:rRNA from 1 species